CCCCGGGCAACCUCUUCGACCUGCUCCAAAUGGAAUUAACUCAUAGUCUUCUUUCUUGAAAUCAAUAUCGCUAUUCAAGAAUCUCUCAGGCUGUCAUUGCCCAUACUACUACAGCUGCACUAGUGUCUGAUCCAGCAACUAACACAUUCUACAAAAAAAUUGGGAAGAAAAUAAAAAUUGUCAAUACAAUGGACACAUUUAUGCUACAUAUUAGAGGUGAUAAAAUUAAUAUCCAUCUUUUAUUAAUAUCGCCCAACUAAAUUUAUACAGGUUGUGGAUUGAUCCGUUUAUUAACUUGACUUAACAGGUUAAAUUCAAAAUGUCAUGGCUGUAGGAAGGAUCCCAAGAAUCGAUCUUCCUUUUUGUUGUUAAAUUUUUCUUUGAUUAAUCAAUGUACGUUAUUCCAAA